rnacentral:lncRNA from 10 species
CUGCACAGAUGGGAUAGUCCGCAUCUUCCAGGCCCAUAGCCUGCACUACCUCGCCAACCUGCCCAAGCCACACUACCUUGGGGUAGACGUGGCACAGGGCCUGGAGCCCAGCUUCCUCUUCCACAGGAAGGCGGAAGCAGUCUACCCAGAUACAGUGGCACUGACCUUCGACCCCAUCCACCAGUGGCUGUCCUGCGUGUAUAAGGACCACAGCAUCUACAUCUGGGAUGUCAAGGACAUCAACAGAGUGGGCAAGGUGUGGUCAGAGCUCUUCCACAGCUCCUACGUUUGGAACGUGGAGACGGAGUUUCACUCUUGUUGCCCAGGCUGGAGUGCAAUGGUGUGAUCUCGGUUCACUGCAUCCUCCGCCUCCCGGGUUCAAGUGAUUCUCCUGCCUCGGCCUCUCAGGUAGCUGGGAUUCCAGGCAUGCGCCACCACGCCUUGCUAAUUUUGUAUUUUUAGUAGAGACGGGGUUUCUCCUUGUUGGUCAGGCUGGUCUUGAACUCCCGACCUCAGGUGAUCCGCCUGCCUUGGCCUCCCAAAGUGCUGGGAUUACAGGCAUGAGCCACCAUGCCCGGCCUAUUCGCUCUCUUCUAAGGUUCUAUCUAACUCUAAGGUUCUAUCUGUAUUCUUCAUGUUUCUGAAAAUAAAAAUCACACAAAAG